rfam:Oryza glumipatula chromosome 11, whole genome shotgun sequence.
UAAAAAAAAAACCGUGGGUUUGCGUGCUAACAUUUUACUGUCCGUCUUAUAUGAAAAUUUUUUAUAAUUAGUAUUUUCAUUAUUGUUAGAUGAUAAAAUAUGAUUAAUACUUUAUGUGUGACUUAUCUUUUUAAUUUUUUUCAUAAUUUUUUUAAAUAAGACGAACGGUCAAACGUUGGACACGGAAAUCAGGGUUUGUCUUUUU